rnacentral:rRNA from 1 species
UUUCGGGGGUACACGAGCGGCGAACGGGUGAGUAACACGUGGGUGACCUGCCCUCCACUCUGGGAUAAGCCCGGGAAACUGGGUCUAAUACCGGAUAGGACCACUGAUCGCAUGGUUGGUGGUGGAAAGUUUUUUCGGUGGGGGAUGGGCCCGCGGCCUAUCAGCUUGUUGGUGGGGUGAUGGCCUACCAAGGCGGUGACGGGUAGCCGGCCUGAGAGGGCGACCGGCCACACUGGGACUGAGACACGGCCCAGACUCCUACGGGAGGCAGCAGUGGGGAAUAUUGCGCAAUGGGCGGAAGCCUGACGCAGCGACGCCGCGUGGGGGAUGACGGCCUUCGGGUUGUAAACCUCUUUCGCCAGGGACGAAGAGCAAUUGACGGUACCUGGAGAAGAAGCACCGGCCAACUACGUGCCAGCAGCCGCGGUAACACGUAGGGUGCGAGCGUUGUCCGGAAUUAUUGGGCGUAAAGAGCUCGUAGGCGGUGUGUCGCGUCGGCCGUGAAAACUUGGGGCUUAACUCUGAGCGUGCGGUCGAUACGGGCAUCACUUGAGUUCGGCAGGGGAGACUGGAAUUCCUGGUGUAGCGGUGAAAUGCGCAGAUAUCAGGAGGAACACCGGUGGCGAAGGCGGGUCUCUGGGCCGAUACUGACGCUGAGGAGCGAAAGCGUGGGGAGCGAACAGGAUUAGAUACCCUGGUAGUCCACGCCGUAAACGUUGGGCGCUAGGUGUGGGGACCAU